AUGGGAAUGGGCUCUGUAUUUACACGUUACGCCGGCUUACGGUGUUUGUUUAUUCAAAACACACUUGGUUUGAACGCGUAUCGACAUAUAGAAAAUGCAAUCAACUACAAUAGCUGGAACAAGACACUAUACCGCGAACAAUCAACAUCUGUUCGCCUCGCAUAUUCGAUUUACAGCAAAGAGGGACGUAGUUCUGGAUCCCCUGUGUUAAUAGUGCACGGGUUGAUGGGCUCUAGAAUGAACUGGAAUUCAGUCUCCAAAGCAAUAGUCUCCAAAAUUAACCGGAAUGUGAUUGCCAUAGACGCACGGAAUCACGGAGAUAGUGCACAUUCGCCUGACAUGACAUACGGUCAUAUGGUAGAGGAUCUUCGUCUGUUUGUUGAUGAACUUAAACUGGGUCGUGUAUGUCCAAUUGGACAUAGUAUGGGUGGAAAGGUGGUGAUGCUGUUUGCUCUAACGCACCCAGAACUUGUGGAAAAGCUUGUUGUAGUUGAUGUUUCUCCAAGGAGAGUCAGUCCAAGUUUCACCACAGUUAAAAAAUACUUAGAGGCUAUGCAGCAAAUAAAGUUUGGAAAAAGCAUGUCAAUGUCAGCUGCUCGUAAGCUUAUAGAACAGAAAUUGUCUCCCAUUGUAAAAGUACCAGCUGUCUGUCAGUUCCUUGCCAUGAAUGUAACUCAGGCAGAAAAUGGUGAGAUGAAGUGGAAAGUAAAUCUGGAUACACUUGUAGACACUUUUGAUGAAAUUUCUUCAUUUCCAGCAACAGACAAAGUUUUUGAAGGUCCAACCUACUUCAUAGGUGGAGGUGAUUCUGAUUAUAUAAGCUGACUCCAGAUCUAGAAGUGCACACAGCAACACUGAAAUUGGAUGGCUGGUGAACACCUCAUGACAAACAUUCCAUAGGUGUAGUACCAGUUCAUACUGUCCGAUGGCCACAAUAUUUUGUUGGUCAGACAUGUUGCCAUUGUCAGGCACUCAGUUACGAGCAGUGUGUCCAGAGAUGGGUACACUGAACACACUUUGGAGAAGAGGGGAACCCUAGAAAAGAAGAUGAGCAGGAAAUUAAGAAAAUCUUCCCAUCAGCAACUUUCAAGUACAUUCCCGGUGCUGGACACUGGGUACAUGCAG